GGAUGAACGCUGGCGGCGUGCCUAAUACAUGCAAGUCGAGCGAAUGGAUUAAGAGCUUGCUCUUAUGAAGUUAGCGGCGGACGGGUGAGUAACACGUGGGUAACCUGCCCAUAAGACUGGGAUAACUCCGGGAAACCGGGGCUAAUACCGGAUAACAUUUUGAACUGCAUGGUUCAAAAUUGAAAGGCGGCUUCGGCUGUCACUUAUGGAUGGACCCGCGUCGCAUUAGCUAGUUGGUGAGGUAACGGCUCACCAAGGCAACGAUGCGUAGCCGACCUGAGAGGGUGAUCGGCCACACUGGGACUGAGACACGGCCCAGACUCCUACGGGAGGCAGCAGUAGGGAAUUUUCCGCAAUGGACGAAAGUCUGACGGAGCAACGCCGCGUGAGUGAUGAAGGCUUUCGGGUCGUAAAACUCUGUUGUUAGGGAAGAACAAGUGCUAGUUGAAUAAGCUGGCACCUUGACGGUACCUAACCAGAAAGCCACGGCUAACUACGUGCCAGCAGCCGCGGUAAUACGUAGGUGGCAAGCGUUAUCCGGAAUUAUUGGGCGUAAAGCGCGCGCAGGUGGUUUCUUAAGUCUGAUGUGAAAGCCCACGGCUCAACCGUGGAGGGUCAUUGGAAACUGGGAGACUUGAGUGCAGAAGAGGAAAGUGGAAUUCCAUGUGUAGCGGUGAAAUGCGUAGAGAUAUGGAGGAACACCAGUGGCGAAGCGACUUUCUGGUCUGUAACUGACACUGAGGCGCGAAAGCGUGGGGAGCAAACAGGAAUAGAUACCCUGGGUAGUCCACGCCGUAACGAUGAGUGCUAAAGUGUUAGAGGGUUUCCGCCCCUUUAGUGCUGAGUUAACGCAUUAAGCAUUCCGCCCGGGGAGUACGGGCCGCAAGGCUGACCUCAAG
rnacentral:rRNA from 1 species